GUACAGCUUCUUGGCCUCGUCCACGUGCUCCGAGAUCUUGUCGAUGUUCAGCCGCGUGUCCUCGAUCUGCAGGCACAGGGAUGGGGCCCGGGGUCACGGGAGACACGGCCCAGCCCACGGGCCGCCCCCGUCCUGGAGAGUGGGUGCUCCUAGGAGUCCUGGGUGCAGGGGGGCCUCCGCGGGCACACACACCCCAGCCCCGACCCACACCCACCCCAGCCCGGCCCACCCAGGAGCCGACACCUGCCCCUGGGACGGCAGACGGGGCCAGGGAGGACCCCAGGGAAGAGGGAGAUCAGGAGGAGAGGACGGGGCAGAGGAGAGAGGGAGGACAGCGUGUGUGUGCCUGCGGCUCAGCUCAUGGUCUGGGUCCUGGGGUCAGCGCCCCCUCCCCGCCCGCUCCCAGGCCCCUGCUGCUCCCUCUCGCUCUGUCUCAAACCCUUAAAGUGCCGUCACGUGCCUCCGGGACACUCAGGUGGCAAUCCUGACCCCCAGCAGGUGGCAAUCCCGACCCCCAGCAGCUCCCCGAGAGGACGCGAGAGGACGCCGGGGGCUCGUUGGUGUGGCCGCGCCGCCCAAGGCCCCGUGCUGCCCUUGGAGGAACUCAGGGUCACAACCGCUGUCACCCCCAGGGAGAAGGCCCCGCAGGCCCCGGGCAGGUCACCCACCUCGGCGAAGAACUCAUCCAUGAAGGCCGUGUUGUCCACAGCGAUCUCCACCUCCUCCGCAUCGUCGUCCUGCGUCAGCUGCUCCUGUGAGACACAGAGAGGUAGGAGGAAGGCGAGAGCCAGCAGGACGGAUACCCCGAUUCCCCAGCAGCCCCCGAAGCUCCGGCGAGGUGCUCCCUCCAUAACCGUCGUCCACACCUGGCCCAGUGGCAGCCUCCGGGGCCCCACCUUCCAGGAAGGACCUACCUCUCCCGCCUCGCUGGAAAACGAGGCCCAGCCUCCCCGGGGGAGGCGGCUCAGCGAGUACUUGUGGACUGUCCUGGGCAGAGGCCUCCUAGAGACGCGCCCCUACGAGACGGCCCGUGGUCAAGCGAGCUGUUAGUGGGAUGGGGCUGCCCUCCUGGAUGGGCUGAGGAAGUUUCUGGAAGCUGGGCACACUUGUGCCCUGGGGCAGGAGGCCAGGCACUAGGUCUCCGUCACGACAUAAAUAUCGGAGGCCCGUGGACUCUGCGUAAGGAUCGUGCACGCCCGCGAGGUCGCCCCCGCGUGGGGCAGUAUCCAGCGGGGCAGCCCCGCCCCACGUCCAGGGAGAGAUCAUGGGAACCACAGGAGAGAAGUCUCUGGAAUCUCCCCACCUAGGCCUGCAGCCGGUCGUCGCCGCGGGCUGGGACACCUCAACAGGGGUCUCCGCUCUGAGGCUCUAACGUGUAAGUGGUGGCGACCUACGCGCCGGCCGAUCGCACGCCAGGCCCCCGUCACCUCGCGGCAAAGGCGAGGGGUCCCUGGGGGUGAGCUCCCCUCGCCCGAGGAAGGCCUCACGCGGAGCCAGGACCGUGAGGCUUCAUCAGCAGGCCCACCCGCCGGGCCACCGGGCCGCGCUUCUGAGCCCCGACUUCCCUGCCUGCCCAGUGGGAACGAGGGCGCCCCUGGGCUUGGGGCGCACCAGUCGGAUCUCUAAGGCCCCGAGCACUACCCAGGAGGCGCGGCCACUUCUCUAUGAGGGUUGGGUGUGCCCAGGGUCUCCCACCUGGAGAGGCGCACGGCCAAGGCCUGGAGCCAAGCGACAGACGGACGCGGCGUGGAUUGUGACUCCGGGGCCCCAUCCCGCCUCCCCCGCGGCGUCGAUCCCACGGCUGCGGCGCUUCCGAAAAAGUAAAGUAACAUCAACGACGGUAAGCGCGCGCUCCGGUCCCAUCAGUCCCAGGGCGGGACCCGAGGGAGGCCGUCAUCACGGGUCACGGCCGGGCGGCGGGACUCCCACCGGCUUCUCCCGCGGGGGGACUAACUGGUCCCAGGGAGACCCCGGUCCCUC
rnacentral:lncRNA from 12 species